rnacentral:lncRNA from 1 species
GUUGUUGUGUAUGGCUGAGGGAGAGUAUGGAGACAAGAGAGAAACAAAUUGGAUAAGUGAGGAAGGUGGAUUAGGGUUAGGCAAGGGUUUCUAAUUUUUUUUUUUCAAUUGGGGUAAGAGUAGGGAUGACAAAGAAAAUGUUGGAGUGAGAGAGAUGAAAGAGAAAGGGUUGAGAGGAAUGAGGAAGGUGAGUAAGGGUUUAGGGGUUUCUUUUUUUUAGUUUUAAGAAUGAAAAUUAUUUAAAUAUCCUUGACCUUAAAACUUAGAAUCCAUGAUAAAUGAGGGUAUUUUUGUCUACUAUAAUCCGGUACACAUUGUUAAAACGUACCAACUGAAAAACAGGCGUACGCGUGUUAACAAACCCCAUAUAUA